rnacentral:rRNA from 1 species
AGUCCUAGCCAUACUACCCAGAAAACGUAUAAACUCCACUGACCUUAGAAGCCAAGCAGGGUCACGCCUGGAUAGUAUUUGGAUGGAAAAACUCCUGGAAUUCCUUUGUACUAUAUUUC